AGAUUGAACGCUGGCGGCAUGCCUUACACAUGCAAGUCGAACGGCAGCACGGGAGCAAUCCUGGUGGCGAGUGGCGAACGGGUGAGUAAUACAUCGGAACGUGCCCAAUCGUGGGGGAUAACGCAGCGAAAGCUGUGCUAAUACCGCAUAAGAUCUACGGAUGAAAGCAGGGGAUCGCAAGACCUUGCGCGAAUGGAGCGGCCGAUGGCAGAUUAGGUAGUUGGUGAGGUAAAGGCUCACCAAGCCUUCGAUCUGUAGCUGGUCUGAGAGGACGACCAGCCACACUGGGACUGAGACGACGGCCCAGACUCCUACGGGAGGCAGCAGGUGGGAAUUUUGGACAAGUGGGACGAAAGCCGUAGAUCCGACGCCAUCGCCGCGUGCGAGG
rnacentral:rRNA from 1 species